UCAGUGAGUGCAUGUCA
rnacentral:piRNA from 1 species